rnacentral:lncRNA from 1 species
UCGAGGAUAAAUACAAAUGUCUCCAUACCGAUCCGCGAGACUCUACUAAACCUGCUCAUGAUCAUGAGACUUAUGUAACCUAGGUUCUGAUACCAACUUGUCACGACCCAAACCCCGCUCCGGUCGUGAUGGUGCCUCUCGUGAAGACAAGGUCAGCCAACAAACCCAUAUCGCCUUUUCAAAAAUAGUUAAACAUUAAUAAACGGUUUAAAUAUGAUUUAAUGAUAUAAUUAAUGGAAGCACAACCCGACACAGCCCUAACCGGGGUGUUACAAGUCACGAGCAUCUACUAGGGUAUAAAUACAACUGAAAGCCUAGUGUGUACAAAUACAGACUAAUGAAAUGAGGAGAGAGAAAAGCAGUGUUGCGAAUGCCGGCAGCUACCUUGCUAAACCCUGAUAACUCUGCCUCCGAUCAGCCAAAACAUACCUGAAUGUGCACACAAAGUGCAGGGAGUAAUGUGAGUACUCCGACUCAGUGAGUAAUAGUAAUAAAUAAAGAUUGAAGGCAAGAAAUCACGCAAAAACACAAGGUAUUCCAUAUUGAAGCAGUAAAAUCACUUUAAACAGUAAAGCAGUAGGAAAUCAAGUGAAAAUCCCCUUCUUUUUUUUCCAACAAGUAAAGCAAGUAGUUUACAAGUGAGUAACAAAAAUGAUAGAAAUGUAAACAACCCCUCGAGCAAAACAUGUACAACAAACUGCCCAUCGGGCAUAAUAUCAACAGAACCAGCCCCUCGGGCUCAAUAUCAGAAUAGUGCCAGCCCCUGGGGCUCAAUAUCAGAAUAGUAAUAGCCCAUCGGGCUCACUCUUGGAAUAGUAUCAGCCCCUCGAGCUACCUCACAAUCACUCAUAUCAGCCCCUCGAGCUACCUCACAAUCACUCAUAUCAGCCCCUCGAGCUACCUCACAAUCACUCAUAUCAGCCCUCGGGCAUAG